UUUGAAUCCAUUAGAACAAUGGCGUAUCAGACGUAGCUCCCAAACCGGUCGACAUCCAUCUGCAUAACUCAUUCCACAAGAAUGAGCGGUAUAGUUUGAAAACUUACCAAAGUUAUCUAGUGGAUGUCGAUACGUUGGUGAGCAGCCGUCGCACAUAGGUCUGAUGUACCUAUGAAAAGUUAUUAUUGGAUCGGUCAUAAUAUUACGUUGAGAAGUUAUCUGUCCAUAAACUUAUUUUCAGAUUUGUAGGCCAAUUCCGUUGCCAUUUUUUAAUCAUUCUUUGUUUUUAUUAAGGUUGAGGUGUAACAGCAUUUUAGGGGCUAUUGUAAUUCCCACUUCCAGGACUUUAUCAUACAUACAGUCAACAGCCAGAUGACCUACAUUUUUGUGUAUUCUGGUCCACCCUAUGAUGGCCGCGAAGUAACGAUCAUGUCACCGUUUAUCAGAUUGCCCAGUUUGAAAGAGUCUCCAACAAUUUCAUCGGAUAGGUCGCCAUAAACCGUGGCAUAGCGCUGGGCCAGCAUCAUUUUGUCCGGAUCAAUAUCUAUAAAAAUGACGUCCCAAUUAUUAGAAGCUAAUAAUAUAGUGUCUUUGAUGAACAGUCAGCUGUACGAAGUUUCCGCUGUGCCACAAAACAGGUCGACGCCGGUCGCUGAACAUGGGAAGUCCUCAAGUCCACCCAGCAUCGUAUUGAUGAAUCAACAAUACAUCUUACAUCUUACAUCUAUCAUUGCAAUCUUAUAAUUAUUCACCUGAAUGCAUGUAAUCCUGAAUGUACAGUUAAUUUAUUACUACCCAUCUACAAAGU